rnacentral:rRNA from 1 species
GACGAACCGUCCUAACGUUGUUCGGAAUCACUGGGCUUAAAGGGCGCGUAGGCGGGCUGCCAAGUCCGGGGUGAAAUCUUUCGGCUCAACCGGAAAAUAGCCUUGGAUACUGGCGGUCUCGAGGGAGGCAGGGGCCGUUGGAACUUCCGGUGGAGCGGUGAAAUGCGUUGAUAUCGGAAGGAACGCCGGUGGCGAAAGCGAACGACUGGACCUCUUCUGACGCUGAGGAGCGAAAGCCAGGGGAGCAAACGGG